rnacentral:rRNA from 1 species
ACGCUCGACACCUACGGGAGGCAGCAGUUGGGAAUAUUGGACAAUGGAGGAAACUCUGAUCCAGUGACGCCGCGUGAAGGAAGAAGGUCUUCGGAUUGUAAACUUAUUUUGUCAGGGAAGAAAAAUGACUGUACCUGAAGAAAAAGCACCGGCUAACUACGUGCCAGCAGCCAGGUAAUCUGAGCGGGCUGGCAAGGC